rnacentral:rRNA from 1 species
AAAUUGAAGAGUUUGAUCAUGGCUCAGAUUGAACGCUGGCGGCAGGCCUAACACAUGCAAGUCGAACGGUAACAGGAAGCAGCUUGCUGCUUCGCUGACAAGUGGCGGACGGGUGAGUAAUGUCUGGGAAACUGCCUGAUGGAGGGGGAUAACUACUGGAAACGGUGGCUAAUACCGCAUGACGUCGCAAGACCAAAGAGGGGGACCUUCGGGCCUCUUGCCAUCAGAUGUGCCCAGAUGGGAUUAGCUUGUUGGUGAGGUAACGGCUCACCAAGGCGACGAUCCC